rnacentral:lncRNA from 1 species
GGAAACAACAAGAAAAGACAAAAGGUUAUGAGGGCCAUGCUGAUGAUACUAGCAUAGCUGGACGACAUCAAAAGGAAUGUCGAUCUCUGGAUCUCCUCAGCUUGCUAAACCUCUCAACUUUUUCUGCUGUCGGCAAGUGUUAUCCCAGCAGUAAGUGUCCUAAAUUUCUUUUGCCGGACAACUGAUUUAGGCAACCCAAAUAAGGCCGCUUGAAAUGUCAAGCUGAUAAUCACCUGCAUCUAUGACCUCCAUGCUCUGCUCUUUUGCAACAGGAAUUUAGCAAUAUUUUUGUAUGUCUCUUGAAAUUAUCUUCAAUCUUAUUUUCAUGUCUGAGUCACCCGUUCAUUUUUUCAGUGGUAUGUUUUCAGUGCUUUAUUCGAUAUGUAGGUUUCUCUACUAAUGCAUCAUGUGCAAAUUUGGAAGGACAUGCUAAUGUGUUUUUACCAGGGAACUAUAUCUAACUCAAUAUUCAUAGACAAAUGUAAAGGUUUUAUCAGCCCUUUCUGUUUCAAAGCAUAUGGAAAACUAAGUGAUAAAGAAAAAGUGGAAUGGAACAAUCGGUGCAAUUUUGUCCUAUGUUCUUUUCUUCUUUUCCUUUUACUUGUAUAAAAAAUUGUUUAAAAUAUUUUCUUGUAUAAAAAAUUGUUUAAAAUAUAACUUUCUUUCCUAAAUUUCUUUGCAACAUUGAUCUAGAUAGCCUUAUCUUGUACGGGGGAUUUUCAACUUUCCGUGCUUCAAUUGCAGCAUGGGCUUCUCUCUACCUCCUACUACUUUCAGAUCUUUUUGUAGGGGAUUCCAG